AUGGGAUGCGAAUCUCGAAAGCCUAUCUCAGUUCGGAUCGGAGGCUGAAACCCGCCUCCGUGAAGCUGGAUUCGCUAGUAAUCGCGCAUCAGCCAUGGCGCGGUGAAUACGUUCCCGGGCCUUGUACACACCGCCCGUCAAGCCAUGGAAGCCGGGGGCGCUUGAAGUGCGUUGCCGCAAGGCGCGCCCUAGAGCGAAACCGGUGACUGGGGCUAAGUCGUAACAAGGUAUC
rnacentral:rRNA from 1 species